AUACUUACCUGGCAGGGGAGAUACCAUGAUCACAAAGGUGGUUUUCCCAGGGCGAGGCUUAUCCAUUGCACUCCGGAUGUGCUGACCCCUGCGAUUUCCCCAAAUGUGGGAACUCCACUGCAUAAUUUGUGGUAGUGGGGGACUGUGUUCGUGCUCUCCCCUG
rnacentral:snRNA from 1 species